AGAGAGGAAGGUGAAUGUAAAAAUUAAUCAAAGAUUUAGGAUUUUUAUUAAUAAAAGCACUAAGAAAAGCAAAAAACCAGUGACAAGGGUGGUUACUAAGUGGACCCCUUAUUAUUUUUUCAACAGAUGUAGAGCAAAAGAUGACUUGUCGCGAUUUGUGAACUCAUCUCUUAUGGUUGAGUGUGCGGAACUGGCACUUGUAAAGUAAGAUUCUAAUAUAGUUAAAUUCUACAAUUAUAGAAUAGCAUUUUUGGAAUAACGGGCACAUAUUCGUAAGCAUAUCAGCUAACAGUUGAUUCUAGUUGAUUACGCUGUUAUCUGAUACGAGUAUAUUGCUAUUGAUAUUGCUGCUUGCCUGAACGAAAAUAAAGCUAAAAUGGUGAAAUAAGAGCUAAGGUUGAUAUAUAAUUUUGAAGAUCAGCUGGUGGAUUCUACUUGAAAUAUUUUUCUAACUAAAAAGUAAUGUUCCGUGAUUAAUGUAUAAGCGCUAAAUUUGAUUUCACUAAAUCAUUUAACUGGUAUUUUUUAAAGAAUUU